GGAGGAGUUUGCAGUGAUAAUGGAGGAACAGCUGGACAUGAGGAAGGAGGCGGCGAACCUUGACAAGUUCGGGAGGCAGUACAAGCAGUACUCGUCAUCGGUGGACUUUCCAAAGCCG
rnacentral:SRP_RNA from 1 species